GUGCUCUCUUCAGCAGCACAUAUACUAAAAUGGGAAUGAUACAAAGAAGAUUAGUACGGCCCUUGUGCAAGGAAAACACACAAAUUCAUGAAGCGUUUCAUAUUUUU